rnacentral:rRNA from 1 species
UACGUAGGGGGCGAGCGUUGUCCGGAGUUACUGGGCGUAAAGGGCAUGCAGGCGGUCGGACGCGUUUCGGGUGACAGCGGGUGGCUUAACUACCCGAGUGGGCGAAAGACGGUUUGACUUGAGGACGCGAGAGGGACACGGAAUUCCGGGUGGAGUGGUGAAAUGCGUAGAGAUGACACAGAACACCGAUUGCGAAGGCAGCUCGCUAAAUUGUAACUGACGCUGAGGCACGAAAGCGUGGGGAUCAAACAGG